rnacentral:lncRNA from 1 species
AACUUCUGCUCCCUUUGACAGGUAUUAUUUCUUCCCUUGUCAUCUUUUCCCAUAGUUCGAGUCCGAUUUCAAGCAUAACUUCCAGUGCAUACAUUCUUCUACAUUUUCCUUAUUCUACUUUGUUAUGAUGUCAUACACUAUGCAUACACUAUUAGGGCAAUCACACUGCCAUUCAAAGGCAGCUGUAGGAAUUUUUUCAUCAUUCCAUGCUUUCCUUUCUAUUUGAUCCCUAUAUUAAAAUUUCUUUACUCUAACAGACUUCAUACUAUCCAAUUACAGGAACUCAGCCCUCCCAUUUUGUCACUUUUGCUUAUAAUAGGGACAACAUAAUGGCUGACUCUCCCUAUGCUCUGGUUUUUUGCAUGAGGCACAUUAGCUCUGGAAAAGCAAACUGCAGCAUCCUCAACAUAUGCCAUAAACAAUGCCAUGCUAAUCUUAUAUAGCAAAACUGCAACAUGUACUAUAUUAUUUUGUGUAUAUUACUUUAGUUAGUAUGUGCAAGUCAUUGAACUCGACGCCAUACUAAUGUCUAUCGUACAUAUUAAUAUAAUAUAUAAUAUUAUCUAUCUCCUACAAGCAUAA